CCCACUGAAUUAAAUUUAAAGGGCUGCAGUAUAUUGACUGUACAAAGGUAGCAUAAUCAAUAGUCUUUUAAUUGAAGACUGGUAUGAAUGAUUUGAUGAAAUAUAAACUGUCUCUUUUUUAAAAAUAGAAUUUAAUUUUUUAGUUAAAAAGCUAAAAUAUAUAUAAAAGACGAGAAGACCCUAUAGAGUUUAAUAAUUUUUUAUUUUUAAAUAAUUUAUAUAUUUUAUAAUUUAAAAAUAAAAAAAUUAUUUUGUUGGGGUGAUAGAAAAAUUAAAAUAACUUUUUUUAAAAAUUAACAUUAAUAUAUGAAUAUAUGAUCCAUAAUUUAUGAUUAAAAGAAUAAAUUACCUUAGGGAUAACAGCGUAAUUUUUUUUUUUAGUUCGUAUAAAAAAAAAAGUUUGCGACCUCGAUGUUGGAUUAAAAUAAAAUUUAAAUGCAAAAGUUUAAAAUUUUUGAUCUGUUCGAUCAUUAAAAUCUUACAUGAUCUGAUUCAAACCGGGGGG
rnacentral:rRNA from 1 species